AUACUUACCUGGCAGGGGAGAUACCAUGAUCACGAAGGUGGUUUUCCCAGGGCGAGGCUUAUCCAUUGCACUCCGGAUGUGCUGACCCCUGCGAUUUCCCCAAAUGUGGGAAACUCGACUGCAUAAUUUGUGGUAGUGGGGGGACUGCGUUCGCGCUUUCCCCUA
ensembl:snRNA U1 U1 spliceosomal RNA